UGGAUAGUUUGAUUCAGCAUACAGAAAUGAAGCAAAAUACAAUCGAAAUCAAGAAAAAGAAUGAAAAGCGUUCAACAUUACUGCAAGAUCCGGAGGAGAUAAUGAGGAGAAGGAAUUUAAAAUUAGAGCGGCGUAGGGAGUGGUACAGGAGAAAAUGUGAACAAGAAACUGUCCAAAUGAGGUGUGAAAGAACUGAAAGGAGAACUAUGUUAAGAAAAGCAGCUACAGGCGAAAAACGUGAACGACUCCUAGCUGCAAACCGACGGCGGAUCGCCGAUUACCGAAAGAGGAAAAAACACGAAGCGAAGUUGACACAGAGCCGAAAAUAGUUUGCAGACUAGAGCGGCGCAGACAGAAAUAUCGAGAAAAACGUGCACGAGAAACGGAAGAGGAGAAAUUGCAAAGAAUGGAAAAGCAACGACAACUAAUAGAACGCAAACGAUCCCAUCGAGAUACCAGACCUGAAAGAAGAACCUAUCGAUGACGACUUUUCGAUUGACAUGAAUCAUGGCUGCAGAGCUACAGAUCCGUUUGAAGAUCAGAUCGAAAUCGGUGAGACAAGCAUCACGUUUACGGAAGCCUACCUAAAUAUGUUAGGAGAAGGUAUCAAAACUGAAGAUAUUGAAUCAAAGGCAAACAACGAUUGAACUGCUCAGCAUCUUUAAGCUGCCUGCUUGAAACCGGCGAUCGAAUCUGCACUUUUAUUGACAGAUUCUUCAAACAAUCGAUCAAGUGGAUAAAUGGCUGGACCAUUUAUUCGUACGACGAAACAGGCGAGGUAAAAGAAGAGAAAAUCCAUCAUUAUUGAAUAUUUCAAAGGAUUCGAUACUAGAGAAGUUUAUUUUUACAAAUCUCUAACGUGUGUAAAGAUGAUUGAACUCUGCUAUGCCAUCGGUGGAAGAAUUUCACAAGAAGACAUCUAACUGUAUUUCAGUCCAUUGCAAUUCGAGCAGUGCAAUUCAACGCAGGAAUUCUGAAUGUUUGGAGUCCCACUGCUGCCGGCAUGAAGAAACACAGGCCACUUGCACCAGCGGUGAUUGUGGAAAAAGGUUUGAACCUAUCCCUUCUGACGGGUUUCAUACAGCUAGAGAAGGUAUAGUGGACGGUAAUGCAGUGUAUGGUCCAGCUGGUGGCAAUAAUAGCACAGUGAAGCCUAUUUUCACACAUUGACCCAAUUUUGAUGAACUGAAAUAAUAAACAAACUUAAAAGGAUUGAUUUCAAAUGGGCGAAUUAAAAAAAUAAGUCAUCUUCAAACCAAACAAAGCCUAAGUAUUAAUAGACAUGCGUCACCAACACAUGCUAUGUUCUUCAUCCCGUUCUUGAUUAAGUAAUAAUAUUUUUAUCAUACUAAAUAAUUAGUUAAGUAUGUAACUAACCCACCAACUAAGUCACCAAACAAUACCAGUGGAAAACCAAGAGGAUAAUUGUAAUUUUCUAAAUGCGUGCGACUUGUCCGAACUAUUUGAAAGGAAAGAAA